CAGCAUCUACUGAUAGACCUGGGACAAUUGACUGUUGUUCCUUUGGUUUGCACUAGGAUGCUAAAGAAUAAAAAAUCCCCGCACUUUCUGUCUGUCUUUGUGGCUGGUCCAGAUUGAAUGGGGGAUUACAUAC
ensembl:snoRNA